rnacentral:siRNA from 1 species
UUGGGCUUUUCCUGCGCAGC